rnacentral:rRNA from 1 species
UACAGAGGGUGCGAGCGUUAAUCGGAGUUACUGGGCGUAAAGGGUGCGUAGGCGGUAAGGUGAGUGUGAUGUGAAAGCCCCGGGCUUAACCUGGGAAGUGCAUCGCAUACUAUCUAACUAGAGUAUAUGAGAGGGUGGCGGAAUUUCCGGUGUAGCGGUGAAAUGCGUAGAGAUCGGAAGGAACGUCAAUGGCGAAGGCAGCCACCUGGCAUAAUACUGACGCUGAGGCACGAAAGCGUGGGGAGCGAACAGG